rnacentral:rRNA from 1 species
GAUGAACGCUUGCGGCGUGCCUAAUACAUGCAAGUCGAGCGAACGGACGAGAAGCUUGCUUCUCUGAUGUUAGCGGCGGACGGGUGAGUAACACGUGGAUAACCUACCUAUAAGACUGGGAUAACUUCGGGAAACCGUAGCUAAUACCGGAUAAUAUUUUGAACCGCAUGGUUCAAAAGUGAAAGACGGUCUUGCUGUCACUUAUAGAUGGAUCCGCGCUGCAUUAGCUAGUUGGUAAGGUAACGGCUUACCAAGGCAACGAUGCAUAGCCGACCUGAGAGGGUGAUCGGCCACACUGGAACUGAGACACGGUCCAGACUCCUACGGGAGGCAGCAGUAGGGAAUCUUCCGCAAUGGGCGAAAGCCUGACGGAGCAACGCCGCGUGAGUGAUGAAGGUCUUCGGAUCGUAAAACUCUGUUAUUAGGGAAGAACAUAUGUGUAAGUAACUGUGCACAUCUUGACGGUACCUAAUCAGAAAGCCACGGCUAACUACGUG